CUGAAGAGACAGGGUAGAACCCUUUAUGGAUUUGGUGGUUAGAGCUUUUGAUUCUGAUUUUAAGUCUUGCUGUCAAGAAAUUGUAUGGUUUUGGAUAGAUGUUUAGAUAGGGAAGUUAUUGUAAGUAAUCUGAUGGGUUUGGCUAAUGGGUAUGCUAGUUUUGCUUAUUGGUGUUUUGGGUUCUUUUUGUAACUAUGGUGAAUUUGUAAUGGAAUGAAAUGAAAUGAAAUGGUGGUGUUUGAUUUAUUGAAAAAAAAAAAAAAAAAAAACCCAAAGC
rnacentral:misc_RNA from 1 species